rnacentral:rRNA from 1 species
UAAGAGCGUAUGGUGGAUGCCUUGGGAUUGGAAGACGAAGAAGGACGCGAUUACCUGCGAUAAGCUUCGGGGAGUUGGAAAUAAACUUUGAUCCGGAGAUUUCCGAAUGGGGAAACCCACUAUCUCUAAUCAGAUAGUACUGAAUAGUGAAUUCAUAGCUAUUCAGAGUGAUACCUAGAGAAUUGAAACAUCUUAGUACCUAGAGGAAAAGAAAGCGAAUGCGAUUCCCUUAGUAGCGGCGAGCGAAAAGGGACCAGCCCAAACCACUCAUCAGAGUGGGGUUAUAGGACCAUCAUUAUAGAAGUUACAAAAUUUGUCGAUAGUAGAAGUUGUUGGGAAGCAACGCCAUAGAUGGUGAAAGCCCAGUAUAUAAAAUUGACAAAUCUUCUGAUGGUAUCCUGAGUACGACGAGACACGAGAAAUCUUGUCGGAAUUUGCGCAGACCACUGCGUAAGGCUAAAUAC